UACGUAGGGUGCGAGCGUUAAUCGGAAUUACUGGGCGUAAAGUGUGCGCAGGUGGCCGCGCAAGUCGAGUGUGAAAAUCCCCGAGCUUAACUUGGGAAUUGCGCUCGAAACUACGUGGCUCGAGUGUGGCAGAGGAAGGUGGAAUUCCACGUGUAGCGGUGAAAUGCGUAGAGAUGUGGAGGAACACCGAUGGCGAAGGCAGCCUUCUGGGCCAACACUGACGCUCAUGCACGAAAGCGUGGGGAGCAAACAGG
rnacentral:rRNA from 1 species